rnacentral:rRNA from 1 species
GACGAACGCUGGCGGCGUGCUUAACACAUGCAAGUCGAACGGAAAGGCCCUGCUUUUGUGGGGUGCUCGAGUGGCGAACGGGUGAGUAACACGUGAGUAACCUGCCCUUGACUUUGGGAUAACUUCAGGAAACUGGGGCUACUACCGGAUAGGAGCCCCUGCUGCAUGGUGGGGGUUGGAAAGUUUCGGCGGUUGGGGAUGGACUAGCGGCUUAUCAGCUUGUUGGUGGGGUAGUGGCUUACCAAGGCUUUGACGGGUAGCCGGCCUGAGAGGGUGACCGGCCACAUUGGGACUGCGAGACGGCCCAGACGCCUACGGGAGGCAGCAGGGGGGAAUAUUGCACAAUGGGCGGAAGCCUGAUGCAGCAGCGCCGCGUGCGUGAUGACGUCCUUCGGGGUAUAAACCGCUUUCGCCUGUGACGAAGCGGGAGUGACGGUAAUGGGUAAAGAAGCACCGGCUAACUACGUG